GAUGAAGAACGCAGCGAAACGCGAUAGUUAAUGUGAAUUGCAGAAUUCAGUGAAUCAUCGAGUCUUUGAACGCACAUUGCGCCCCCUGGUAUUCCGGGGGGCAUGCCUGUCCGAGCGUCAUUGCUGCCCUCAAGCACGGCUUGUGUGUUGGGCCUCCGCCCCCCGGCUCCCGGGGGGCGGGCCCGAAAGGCAGCGGCGGCACCGCGUCCGGUCCUCGAGCGUAUGGGGCUUCGUCACCCGCUCCGUAGGCCCGGCCGGCGCCCGCCGGCGACCCCCCUCAAUCUUUCCAGGUUGACCUCGGAUCAGGUAGGGAUACCCGCUGAACUUAAGCAUAUCAAUAAGCGGAGGA
rnacentral:misc_RNA from 1 species